CCGCUAGAUGAUGAAGAGCUGAUCGCAUACAUCAUCAACGGCCUCGACUCCGAGUUUGAUCCGGUAGUUGAGGCGAUCACAGCUACGGCAAGAAUUGCUCCCAUCUCUUUAUCUCAUGUUUAUUCGCAGCUUUUAAGCUUUGAAA
rnacentral:snoRNA from 1 species